rfam:Dolosigranulum pigrum ATCC 51524 genomic scaffold supercont1.1, whole genome shotgun sequence.
UAAUAAAAUAUGAUUCAACCGAAGACAGUAUGUGGCGCAAGCCUUAAUCUCAUACCGAGGUGACGUGUAAACACUACACUUCCUCUAUGUCUUUAGGUGGACAUGGAGGUUUUUUUGAACAAAA